rnacentral:rRNA from 1 species
UACGAAGGGGGCUAGCGUUGCUCGGAAUCACUGGGCGUAAAGCGCACGUAGGCGGCUUUCUAAGUCAGGGGUGAAAUCCUGGAGCUCAACUCCAGAACUGCCUUUGAUACUGGAGAGCUAGGGUCCGGAAGAGGUGAGUGGAACUCCGAGUGUAGAGGUGAAAUUCGUAGAUAUUCGGAAGAACACCAGUGGCGAAGGCGGCUCACUGGUCCGGUACUGACGCUGAGGUGCGAAAGCGUGGGGAGCAAACAGG